rnacentral:ncRNA from 1 species
UCGCCCACAAUCUGUUGAAACGGUUUCAACACGGAUGUAUUUGGGCGCGCUGUGCGUAAGCCGCGUGAUCCGAUGGCCGACUUUGGUCGAAGCUCUCUGUAAGGGGCAUCCGUGUUGGGAUCGUUCUUCGAAUGAAAGGCAUUCGAAACAUCCCACGAUUGGUCUCCUCGCGCUAACCCCGUAGCGUGUGGUUUUUAGCGGGCUCCAGGCCCGCUUUUUUUU